rnacentral:misc_RNA from 1 species
UCUCUAGUUGUAUCAGAGGGUCUUGCAUGGAAGAAUAGAGAAUGAGGUUGAGCCAAGGAUGACUUGCCGGGUUUUUUUACCAAUGAAUCUAAUUAACUGAUUCUGGUGUCCGGCAAGUUGACCUUGGCUCUGUUUCCUUCUCUUCUUUUGGAUGUCAGACUCCAAGAUAUCUAUCAUCAU